UACGUAGGGGGCGAGCGUUGUCCGGAUUCAUUGGGCGUAAAGAGCUAGUAGGCGGUUUGGCAAGUCGGGUGUGAAAUCUCCGGGCUCAACUCGGAGAGGCCACUCGAUACUGCUAUGACUAGAGUCCGGUAGGGGACUAUGGAAUUCCUGGUGUAGCGGUGGAAUGCGCAGAUAUCAGGAGGAACACCAAUAGCGAAGGCAGCUCGCUGGGACGUUACUGACACUGAGGCGCGAAAGCGUGGGGAGCGAACAGG
rnacentral:rRNA from 1 species